ensembl:antisense Gm13262 predicted gene 13262
GGAACUUAUCGGGGCCAGCCGGCAACUAAAUGCCACGCUGAUCCCAGGAGAUAGCCAACUGAGGUUUUUUUCACAGAAGUCUAUUUAGAAGCCUGCGACAGACUGCCCUGCCAGCGGCUCCACUUACCUCAGCACUGGUGGCUCCAUCAGAUCAGGUUUGGAAUCACACAUCAGUUGGAGGAUAAAGAUCCCCACUGUAUUUAGUGGCAGACACCUUCUGAAGACAAAUACCUCGUCAGCUACAGAGACGAUGCCUUGCCAGCCUCUCUCGUCCCUGACGGCCGAUUAUCACACCAUGUGAGCAGCUCAGGUUCCUGUGUAUCUGUUUCCUGAAUACCGUCUCCUUCUAUAAAACACUGGCAGGGUAAGUACUUCACCUCCCUUCUCCUUUAGAAAGCAUGGAUGCCGUUCAAAUGAUGGCGUGGGAUAAAGGAGAAAUAGGCUGCUGCUUUAAAGAUGGAAUGGUUAGCCUUCCUAAUGAGAAAUACUUGUCAUUCUUUUGCUUCAGAUUGUUGCAACUCACAUUCCUGUAGCAGAGUUCCUUCACUUUGCAGAGUGAAACCCUUUCCCUUACAGUAUAUGUAGUAUAUGUGUGUGCAGAAAGUGUGUGUACUGGGUAUCCUUCUCUAUUGCUCUCCCCAUUAAUGUUACUAAUGGUGUAACCAGGAAUGGAGGUGGAUACGUUUAAUCCCAGUACUUGGGAGGCAAAGGCGCUUGAAGUCAGCCUGCUGAGCUCCACCAUAGUCAGGACUUCACAGAGAAACCCUAUCUUGAAAAGAUAAAACCAAAAAGCUUAUGUGUAUAUGCAAGGUGCAUAUCUAUCUGUGUGCUGACGCCCAUGGAGAAGCAGCAUCAGACGGUCUGGAGCUGUGAGCCUCCUGUUGGUGCUAGGAUCUGGACUUUUGUGGACUUUGGUACCUCUCUUAGAGCAGAAAGCUUUUAACUCCUGACCUGUCUGUCUAUCCAGGCCCUCUACUUUUGCUGUUGUUGGGGUAAGGCCUUUUAAUGAACCUGGAGUCUGCCAUGUUGGCUACCCUUGCUGGGCAGCAAGCCUCAGAAGUCUAUGUCUGCCUCCGCAGAGCUGGGUUAUAGGUGCACACUCUUCACACCCUGCUUUCUCUGUUGGAGGCAGUGCAGGUCCUCAUGUGUGUCCAGCUUCACUUACUGAGACACCUAUCUUCCUGGCUCCAAAUCCCACUGAUCUCUUUUUAAUAAGGCUGGCCGUCACCCUCCUCUGUUGAGUCCUGUCCUCUUCUGGUUUUACCAUUUAAGGAAAGCUGCCUCCACUCUCAGGAAUUCUGUGGUGUUUAUAAUUUACUCUCUCUCUCUCUGGAGAAUGAUUUUGAUCAAAUUUUUUAACUUUUCUUUGUAACAUUGAUGUUUUAUUUUCUAAUCCCCCCUGCCACCCACAGCAGUUUCUUAAACUUCAUUUGGUUGGUGUCACAGUCAUCCAGUGGAGACCACAACCACCGGUUCAUUUUGCACAGGCCACUGAGCAGUCAUAAGAUGGUGACAACUUUGGGUCUUUAGUGACCUGGACUGGAUUCGACUCACUGACCUAGAGGUGAAAGGCUCUGUAUUUCAUUACUAAUCCCUUGAGCCAUCCAGCCCCCUGAAAAUGAUUCUUUGGUUUUAUUAUUGCAAAGACCAUUUAUAAAAUCAUGGACUGGAUUUAGGAAAGCAACCAUGAAAUAGCAAGGGACAACAAAAUUGAUUGAAACUUCUUAAAUGUUGUGUGGGCUGGAGACUCUCAGACAGGAGGAGGGGAAGUUCUAUAGAGGCACCUCCUUCCUUACUCCAGGAGUGCGACCUGCUCACUUAGACGUGGCAACUUCAGACCCACACACCAUGCCUCAGGGAAUUAAUUCCUAAAUAAAGAAAAUGGAAAAGCAAACUACGAAACAGCCAAUAAUCUUUAUUUUGCACUUCCCCCACCCUUUGUCUCCUCCAAAAAGCACUAAUGGGUAUACUUGUGCAUGUGAAAAUAUUGUAUAAAGUAUUCAGGAUGAUCUCUAAUAAAUC